GUGAAUGAGGCUUUCGAGCUUCGACCCACUACCAUUGCACUUUGGCUGUGCGCCUCUCCUCUGGGAAGGCUUGCACGCCAAUUUGCAUUGAUUCUCACACCUGUGCACCUUUCGAGAUGUGGGACGCGGAGGGAAUUUUUUUUCCUCCAAGCCCCUGUCUCGCUUUUUACCAAACCACUGUCGCGAAUGUACAAAACCUAUAACUUAUA
rnacentral:misc_RNA from 1 species